rnacentral:rRNA from 1 species
AGCGAACGCUGGCGGCAGGCUUAACACAUGCAAGUCGAACGGGCGUAGCAAUACGUCAGUGGCAGACGGGUGAGUAACGCGUGGGAACGUACCUUUUGGUUCGGAACAACCCAGGGAAACUUGGGCUAAUACCGGAUAAGCCCUUACGGGGAAAGAUUUAUCGCCGAAAGAUCGGCCCGCGUCUGAUUAGCUAGUUGGUGUGGUAACGGCGCACCAAGGCGACGAUCAGUAGCUGGUCUGAGAGGAUGAUCAGCCACAUUGGGACUGAGACACGGCCCAAACUCCUACGGGAGGCAGCAGUGGGGAAUAUUGGACAAUGGGCGCAAGCCUGAUCCAGCCAUGCCGCGUGAGUGAUGAAGGCCCUAGGGUUGUAAAGCUCUUUUGUGCGGGAAGAUAAUGACGGUACCGCAAGAAUAAGCCCCGGCUAACUUCGUGCCAGCAGCCGCCGCUGUAAC